AUAAAAGCGAUGAAGAGGGCAAGUAAGUUAUUGAAUCAAUCCAAGAGAGUCCAUGUAUGCUGAAAGUGGAUAUUGAUGCAAUUAAAGAAACAAGCCUCAGAGCUGCGUACGGAUCUAAACAAUCAUUUCGAGAGCGGAAUGUAUUCUUAGUGAUGCUGCGACAGGCGCUCCUGUUAUAGGGCUAAAGUAUCCCUGAUGGGUGGUACUUGAUAAGGUUGAUUUUGUGAGAAAUCAACAAAAAGAGGUGGCAACGCGAUAUAACAUUCGUCCUCAAG
rnacentral:ncRNA from 1 species